AGUAAGACAUGGGGUGACCUGGCCUAAAGUGAGGGAUACCGGCGAGAAAUUGCCGACAAGCCCGCAUGGGUUCUGCCUGGUAGAGCGGGUGGAGCAAAGUCGCAAGACGCUUUAGGAUGGGCCUGUGGCCGAUUAGCUAGUUGGGGGGGUAAGAGCCUCCCAAGGCGACGAUCGGUAGCUGGUCUGAGAGGACGAUCAGCCACACUGGGAUUGAGAACGGCCCAG
rnacentral:rRNA from 1 species